rnacentral:lncRNA from 1 species
CAGACUCAGCCUGUGCCCCUAGCUUCCUGACAGACACAGUCUGCUCCUCCGGGGCUGGGAGGGGCUCAGUGACAGGUGUCCUUCUUUCUGGGAAAUGAUUAGCACCCCAGGGAAGCACUGUGCUGGCUCUGAGCAUCUCAUUAACAGCAUGACUGUGCGCUUCCGGUGCUGAGCUGGGCCCUGCGGUGGCUGCGGAUGGGCAGGGCAUUGAGGGCCACAGCUCCUGGCCACCGCGCCUCCCGGAUGUGCAAAUGCCUGCAUCCAGGUGGCUCCCAGAAACCCGGCCUCCUAACCAAAAGAAAAUUUCCUGGGCAGAGACCGGAUCCUUCCUACUAGAAAAAUGGUUUCCCCUUGCUCUGUGCCUCUGAUACAGACACACACACACUCUGCCGGCAGCUCCUCCGUCCUGGCUCGGAGGCGCCCGCCUCUCUUCACUCCCAUCCUGAGGCCUGUCACUGGCAAACCGGCGGGGCGCGUGGCUGUCUGGGGCGAUCACGUCAGCUCUCCUCUCCGCGUUUAACACCAUGGGAGACCAUAUUUUAGUGCAGCGUUCAGGGGAUUCAACUCUUCCAGCCUCCAACUCUGAGUACAGGAAGCAGGUCCCUUUCAUCCGCCGCUGCGGCCUAAGUGCCUCGCACAGCCCCGGCGCUCGCAGGCCGGGUGGCGGGGGAGCGCGGGCCUGGGCGCCUGGGGAGCGGCCGAGCCCCGGAGGUGCGGCCUGCGCCCCGCCUUCGCCGGCGGAGCGAGGACCCCGCGAAAACGACCGGGGGCUGCGGCGGGCGCGGCCGGGCUGCAGGCGAGGCGCUCCAGGCCGGCCUAGGCGACCUAGGGCCGCAGAGCACGACGCCGCUGCUCCACGACGAUCUCGAAAUGAGCACACCACCCAGCGAUGGAGCCAUUUGCACAACGCGCAGGCCCUGAGCGGAUCCUGUGAUUACCACCAGCAGUGCUGACAUGAAGUACUCAGCUAUGCUCUUCUAGCCUAAAUGCUGUGCUCAAACUGGAAGAAUCAGCCUCCCGGGCGAGGUAUCACCCUGUCCUACUUUGAAAAGGACACAGUGCAGGGAUGAAGAACAGAGGCUUUUGCUGCUGAGAGAUCAUAUUUUAAACAAGACGUAAGUGGAGUCUUCAUAACCAGUCUGAUAAAUUCUCUUAGGGUAGUCAUGGGUCUGCCUCUCUGGCCACUGCCAUGUUAUGUAUCCUGAGCCGCAGUGGCUCACAGCUGUGCAGAAGGUAUCUGCUCUAUUGAGUCCAAUAGUUUCAAGCUGCUGAUUCUCAGAGCAGUAAUCCAUCCCAGCAUUGGUCCGAAGAACCCUGUGGACUGAGAAUUCACUAACCUUCACAGACUGGCUCAGCACUAGCACCUCUACUUCUCUACAGGUGAUCUCUAAUAGCCUUGCAAGCAGUGGUCCAGACAUCAAGAACUAAAAAAACACCUUUAAAAGCCAAUGCUUACUACAAACUCUAAAAGAUUUUUCUCUCCUGCUAAACAAGCUGGCCCCUUAGAGAGAAGUUACUUCUUUUAACUAAAUAUGUGUCCUUGACGUAAUAAGAAUGAGGACUUUUCCUCAGUAUAACUGAAAUAGAAAAGUCAAUAGCAGGAAAAGAAAGACUGUAAGAAUAUAAGGAAGACCCUCAUGGAAGAUGAGAGAAUGGAAGCCAACAAAUCAACAAAUCAGAAAUCUUUACAAGGAUACCAAAGCUAGUAAACACUGAUUCUGUUUAUUCCAGGCAUACAAAAGAAAUGGAAGAUUCAUCCUUUUCAGGGUCUCCGUUGACUUACCCGCGGGCCGGGACAAGUGGCGCCCAACGUGGGGCCAGAGAACGGGGGAUCCAGUGAAGGACGCUGCUCAGGGGCCCUAAGAUUAAGAUUGAGGAACAAAGAGCAUACUCGACAUAGAAGAGGCUUGCGAUUGACGUGGACCUGCCGUCUAUUUGCACCUCGG